rnacentral:rRNA from 1 species
UACGUAGGUGGCAAGCGUUGUCCGGAAUCAUUGGGCGUAAAGCGCGUGUAGGCGGCCCGGUAAGUCCGCUGUGAAAGUCCAGGGCUCAACCCUGGGAUGCCGGUGGAUACUGUCGGGCUCGAGUCCGGAAGAGGAGUGUGGAAUUCCUGGUGUAGCGGUGAAAUGCGCAGAUAUCAGGAGGAACACCAAUGGCGAAGGCAGCACUCUGGGACGUGACUGACGCUGAGACGCGAAAGCGUGGGGAGCAAACAGG